rnacentral:rRNA from 1 species
GUAAUGCUUAGGAAUCUGCCUAUUAGUGGGGGACAACAUCUCGAAAGGGAUGCUAAUACCGCAUACGUCCUACGGGAGAAAGCAGGGGACCUUCGGGCCUUGCGCUAAUAGAUGAGCCUAAGCCGGAUUAGCUAGUUGGUGGGGUAAAGGCCUACCAAGGCGACGAUCUGUAGCGGGUCUGAGAGGAUGAUCCGCCACACUGGGACUGAGACACGGCCCAGACUCCUACGGGAGGCAGCAGUGGGGAAUAUUGGACAAUGGGGGGAACCCUGAUCCAGCCAUGCCGCGUGUGUGAAGAAGGCCUUUUGGUUGUAAAGCACUUUAAGCGAGGAGGAGGCUACCGAGAUUAAUACUCUUGGAUAGUGGACGUUACUCGCAGAAUAAGCACCGGCUAACUCUGUGCCAGCAGCCGCGGUAAUACAGAGGGUGCAAGCGUUAAUCGGAUUUACUGGGCGUAAAGCGCGCGUAGGUGGCCAAUUAAGUCAAAUGUGAAAUCCCCGAGCUUAACUUGGGAAUUGCAUUCGAUACUGGUUGGCUAGAGUAUGGGAGAGGAUGGUAGAAUUCCAGGUGUAGCGGUGAAAUGCGUAGAGAUCUGGAGGAAUGCCGAUGGCGAAGGCAGCCAUCUGGCCUAAUACUGACACUGAGGUG